ACGCAGAGUAAUCCUAAUAGGGUAGGGAAUGACCUCGCCCGUCUGAUGACGUUUAAGGACUUUGCCUGUUUCACUCCAUAAAUAAAGAACAGAGAGUAGUAAUCCUAGCUAUUACAGUCCAUCAGGGUGCUGUCUUAUAUUCUAUGAGGAAGACAAAUCCCUCUCGAACAUUCGAACAUGAGGAAAGAUAGGACCAUGGCAUGCUUGUAGACGAAUCUUUUAUCCUACUUUUGCAGUCUCUCCUGCAUUUAAUUCUGAAACUUUUUAGGGCCGCUUGAAUGUGAUAUGCCCUGUCAUUGCAAAUUUGAGCUGAGUUUUGAUCUUAUCUUCACUUAGACAUGGCAUCUACCUAAGAUACAGCGAGUGAUUUCGUGGAAAGCACAGGCAUCAUAAGCUAAGCUAACUUACAAGUACAACUCUCUUGGACUCUAGCAGCUAGCUUGGUUUUCAAUGGCAGCGGAAGAAAAGGAUAUACAGUAUACAGUGGCAGCGGCCUUGCAUGACUCACUAAAACUUAUCCAUCUUGGACUCUAGCAAGGGAACAGAGGUGGGACAGCAGAGUGGAAUCAGAUCGCAAGACCUUGAUAGAGCAGUUGCAAACAAAGAUUAAAAAGCGUGCGGUCCUGGAGAACGUGCUCAAGGAUAUCUUCAUUCUCAGUUCUUUCUUUGUUUCGUGUUCUUUCACUUUUUUUGUAUCUAAAAAAAUGUAAAUGGGUGGCUGGUGUGUUUUUGUGUAGGCAAUAACCAAAAGAUUAGCAAAUUUUGCAACAGAUCUGAGGGCUGACUUAGCAAGGAAAAUCCAUUUCCCUGUUUGCCUAACUAGGAAGGACUGAUACUUGGGAUGGUUAUCCCACUUUUGUAAAACUCAGUACUUUUGUGAAUCAAUGCAGUGUGCUAUCUUUCCCUGUUUGAUGCUUAUUUGAUUCCUAACUCAGAAUUUUUUUUUUUAAAAAAAAAAAAAGAAGAAAAGAGCACUUUGUCAAUCUUGGAUAUAUGGUGCACUUCAAACAAAUCGGAGAUGUAGACCAAUUAGUGGCUUUCUUCCAUUUUUAUUGCGGUUUAAUAGUUAAUUUUUUUUUUCCAAACGAUAAAAGACGGUUUAAUAGUUAAUUGGUUGUCAUCUUUGUGAAAAGCACCUCUUAUAUUAUUGCCUUGUUUGGCAGACAAGUUUUUUGCCAAGUUUAUCUGUUACACAAGUUUUUUAAAAAUUUAGCUACAGCAACCUCAAAAAACUUUUCAAAAUUUUUAAACUAUACACUUCAAAAUAUUAAAAAAAAAACACAUUUCAAAAAUUUUUUUAAAAAACUUCUACAGUAAGUUACAGUAAAAUUUUAGAUAAACAUCUAAAAAACUCACGUGCCAAACAGAGACGUUAACUUUCUAGGCAGCCUUGUUGAUACGGAAUGAUGGAUUGAAGAACCUAGGUUCCUCAUUCCAUAUCAGUUUUACACCAAAAUAUCCUAUAAAAUCAUCUGGAAUGAUUUUUCCUUUCACCAUUAAUCAAACUUAGACAAACGACAAUCUCACUUAAUUAUGCUUAUUUUGCUCCAAAUUAACGCAUUCAAUUAUGCACUAUUUCAAAAAAAAAAAUAUAUAUAUAUAUAUGUAUAUAUAUGCUCAUCAAAUCUUGUUAAUUUCUCAUAUUGGUUUAUAUAAAAAAAGGUUUUCCUUUUCUUUGUUGAAAAGGUUUCUUGAUUUUGACGGAAUUCGAAGGGCCAGACCUAUGAAGAGUGGCUAAUUUGUAUGGGACCAUGUCACUAGAGUUAGCAAAUUUCUAAAUGGCAAUCUAUUAGACAAGACAAACAUUAAAGGUCGGUCCAGUCUCACUUACAACCAAAACAUUUACGGAUAACUUUUUUUUUAAUACACCCUAUCAAUGUAUAAUUUUCUUUUACACUAGUAGGUUUAAAUCAUGGCACGUAACAUGAAUUCAAAUUUAAACAUGCACAUUUUCUUGGGUUACGAUUUCUCUCCGUUUAUUUAUAUCUAAAUUUAUAUAAAAUCAUGUAAUUGUUUCAUUAAUUUUUUUAAUCUCUAGAUCAACAUACUAAAAAAUAAUAUUUUUUUUUGAAAACAUUUUGAUAUUAAAUUUACACGAAACAUUUGAACGGUGAAAACGGGUUAAAAUUAUGAAAAAUUUGCAAUGAUUAAUCAGGUGACAAAACUUGGUCAAUUCAAUACCAUAUUUUAUGCAUAACUAAUACAAGUAAUGAAAUGUAUUAUAAAUGGCGUUGAUUUUCAAAAACAAUUUUUAAAUUAAAUUUAUUGGGGUGUAAUGGAGAGGAGUCUUGUCAUAUUUUCUUUGCGCUAAUAAGUUUAUAUCAAUGUCACGUAACAUAAGUUCAAAUUUAAAUAUGCACACAUGAUAUACAUACAUAGCUACCAGUAUAAAAAAUUACUAAACUGUCAAUGUAUAAAAAUUAAUUCAGUUUCUAUUACAUAACAAUCACCAUUAAAUUUAUUGGGGUGUAAUGUACCUUUUUUAUUUGAAGGUAAGUAGAAGGUUUUAAAUUCAGAAUUUUCUACUUAUAAAUCUCUCUCCAAAAUCUUAACUUAUGUAGAAUGGGGUAAAAAUUCAAGAAUUAAAAAGGGGCUCAAAAAAUAAAAGAAUAUAAUAGCCAAAUGCAGCAAAAGUGCCAAAUAGCAAGGGCCCACCAACCCAUGUGACCGAGACUCUUGUACUAACUACUAAGCAAGCAAAGAUGUCCCUUCCCACUACAACGUUCGACUCCUUUCUGUUUUCACUUAAUACUAUAAAAAUAAUAAAAAACAACAUAUUUGUUUUGAAUUUAGGCUUAAAACCCGGACCCCACUUCCCCCCCCCCCCCACAUCCGCCACGUCGGUCCUCGUACUGUUACUUUUUCGUUAAUUACGUGCUCUUAAUUCGCGGAAGAAUUCUCAGUUGCCUGACCUCUUUAAUUUUUCUGAUAAAAUAAUCAAACAUCGGUUAUUCUCGGCGGUCCACGUUAUUACAAACCAAUUAAACGACAUCGUACACGACAAAACUCCCUAAUAAACAAAUAAAAAAAAAAAAAUAUUUCCCUUUUUUUUUUUUUUUUUUUUUCUCUCUCAAGUAUUCUAUUUAAACGCAGGGAAGAAGCAGAAUUCACUACUAUUACUAAUUAGCAGCAGCAGAAAACCAGGAGUCUUCCCGGACUCAGAGCUUUUGGACUUUUCUUCUUUCUUUAUAAGUAAGUGAAGAAGUGAAGAGUGAGUGAUAUCCGGAAUAGGGCCAUUUUGGGAAGUUCACUCAGCUUCCAAAUCUUCUCUUCGAUCCACAUUUCCCUUUCUUCAAGUAGAUUUUUCAGUCUCUGGAUUCAAAUUUUCUUGAGUUCAUACAUAUAAAUCUAGUAGUGUCUCUGUGUGUGUGUGUGAUUUGUGAGAGAGACUUGUGUUGUUUAUGUAAGUAAAGCUUUGUUCGUAAGUACUGAUGUUUCUUCAUGUUUUAUAAGGACACAUGGUUGAUUUGAUGUUUUUUUUCUUUUCUUUUAUUUUUUCCCUUUUUUGGUUCAGUCCAGGUGAGGAGGAGGAAGUGAAGAUGUUUACAGAAGGACUUGACGACCAUGCCGUGAAGUGGGUUAGAGAGGUUAGCUUCCUUCAAAACAAUCUGGCAUUUUGUUUCGACAAAUUUAAUGAUCAUCAAAAAUUUACUUUUUUUUUUUUUUCUGGUAAUGAGUUUGUUGGCUUUUCCCUUUGUACUCUAAUGGUUAUCUGGGCUUUUGAGGCAUCAACACAAUGGUUUUGAUUGUUUCUUAUGGGUAAUGUGAAGUGGAAUAAUUAUUAUUUGUUGAACUUUUACGAUUCUGGAUUUUUUCAGAAUUCGAAUUCAAAUUCAAAAUAUCAGGGUCUGUGGGAAUAUCUUUUUUGACUAAAGUGUACUUGUUAUUGUUUUUUAGCUGGAAACCGAGUGCCUCAUUACACUGUUUGAUGAAUUAUUUGUAAAACAAAAGCAAUGAAUUAUUUGUAAAGCUGAAAAUUGGAGAAGAAGCAAGUACCUGCAUUUUUGUUAUCAUUAGUAAAAUUCUUCUAUUUCUUUCUUUCUUUUCCUUUUUUUUUUGGGAGUAAUUUUUGGGGAACACGAAGUGAUUCUCAAAGUUUUGUUGCAUUUCUGAAUUUUCUGAAAUUCAAAUCCAAAGUUAGUCUCUUUGUAAUUCUUUCACCUGUGUGGUUAUAAUUCACAGUCACAUGAAAAAAAGUGCUUAUUAUGACAAUUUAUGCAUUCUAAUUGUCGAGAAAACAAAAGCAACAGAGUCUAACUGGAAAUUUAAGGAAGAAACAAUGUGAGAGAAUAGCGUAUUGGAUUAAAACUUGCAAGAAUGUUGAUUUUCAUUAGCUGUUCUGCACAAGAAAGUAAAUGUGGAUGGAAAUGAAUAAGAUUGUUGAGCCAAUUGUUGAAUAAGUAAUGUUGGUUUUGAAGCAUCUGUCUCUUUAAUUUCAGGUUCUGGUAAUCAUAGGGCUGAAGUCCCUUUAUCAGUCACAAACCAAAGGCCCAAAAUAGAUCCUCUCUCGAGUAUAAGAAAUGGAGGCAGGUUGGGUUACCUCCACCGGCUUUCCGGAGUGGUCAACUAUCGGAGUCAUUCCAACUUCCAGAGUUAUCCCUGGGGAUAUAGAUGACAGUAGGUCAGCUUCUGAUAAUGACAUGAGCACGGAUUCGGAAGAGGAGAUCUAUGGUGGAAGAUAUUCCCUUGACUCAUCACCACAGGAUGAUAGAGUUCCCAGAAGCACCACAGCUCCAAAGUAUUACAAUCCUGUGUCAAGGCGUGCCCCUCAGUAUGCCAGUGAUGCCCUCUAUUCGGAUGAUCUUACUUCAUCAAGAGAUUCCCUAGGAGAGGGCAGGGAUAUGUGGCGUGAUAGAUUGAUGAGGGGUGCUAAUAGAUAUUCUGUUGGAAACGGUCUUUAUACAGAGGAUGAAUCUUCUGAUUCUGCUGCAAGCUCUGAAUUCUCCACCACUCAAUUAGGGAGCAAUAAUGGGACUGUCCCACCCACUAGGACUUAUGUGUCACAAGGCUACGGUCCAGUGCUUCUUCAAAAGUGAAGAUGGAUAGUACGAGACAGAAGGUACUUAACGUGAAUUUUAUCUCUUUGCAAUAUUUUCAUAUUCCUGCCACAUUUUGGAACUUUAGGUUAUUAGCUUGGUCAAUAAAGAAUAAGAGGUGAAAAGUGUAUGCAGAUCAUUUUGCUUCAUCUUAACCUUUCCUUGUUUGUAUUGGUUAUCUUCCUCAGUUGAUGGGGAGGAAACAUUUUAGAGCUGUGAUCUCCAUGUCUUUUACAUUUUAUUAUUUGGAAAAAAUUUCUGAAAGCAUUAAGAGGAAAAUUUAUUAAUCGAUCUUGGAAUUAGGGAAACAUGUCAUGGCAACAAAGUAGUAGAUCAAAUUUCUGUUGUCUCUACUGACCUAUCAUGUCCUAAGAAACUAUAAAAGAUCUCAUGUUGUCCAUGGUUAUUCUUGAUUUAGUUUUUCAAUCAGCAAGAUGUGGAUUAUUGAGCUUCAAGCUAAAAUGCAUAGUUUUGGAACCUGAGAAUCAGUCUGCUGUCAAUGACCGUGGCAUAAACUUGAGUUUCUUCCUUGAUUAUGAGAUGCAAUGGGAUUCUAAUUUUCAGUGUCCCUGGAUAUCUUCGGUUGAUUGCUGCUUCUUUUCUAUUGUGUUGCACUGAUGGGUGCAAUUCUUUUUAACUCUGAAAGUUGGCUGACAUUUUCCUGCUGCUGCAGCUAGACUAUGAACCCUUGAGGAUCAUUUCUUUAUCAGACACCAAAUUUUAUUGAUAAACACAACUUUUCUGGGAACAACAGCACUAGUGAAAUCCAUAAAUCAAAUUCUUAUUUAUAGUAGUUAGGUCGACCUACUUUUUCGGAGUAACCUGAUUAAAGGAUUUAAGUUCUCAAACAUAAUGCUUAGCUAGAUUGAAAUGUAAAUUUGUCUCUACAUGAUCAUUGAUUUUUUUCUGAUAGGAUUUAGCUUUAUGUUUGCCACAUUAAUUUGUACCCUUUGAUGCUAUUAGUUAAACAAAUUUCAUUUUCUCACGUGAAAUUUUACCCAGUUUGAUGAGUCGACUUACUUUAAUUUGUAAAGAAGUUUGUUUUUUCACAGUUAUAUAUGCAAGGAUCAGGAAGUACUUGGCAAUCAAGUGCCCUAAUUCUUGUAAACUUGUUUGAAUGGGGAGCUUUAUGUAUGUUAUUUGUCUGUAGGGCAUGAAUCAUUCUCAAGUAUAGUCAAACGUAUCCAUUUUGAUAAUUACAUCCAAUCAUAUAAUUUCUGCAUGGGAUCUAGUGUUGGUUGAUAUUAAAUAGAAUGUGUUGUUACCUAUUUUUGGUACAACAUUUAUCUUUUAUACCUUGCUGCAGUGUUGAACAUUCUUCUGACUAUGGUGAAUUAUUUUUCUGCAGGAUGUAAUUCUAGGAAUUUGGAGAAGCAAAGGUUCUCCGAUGAAGAUGUUCCAAGUGCACCUCCAUUUUGUGGAUCUGGUGGGGAAAUUAAGAUAGACAGGGAAACAAGUCCUGUGUCAAAAAUGGAGUACCUGUCCUCCAUGAAAGCUGAGAAAGAUAACUUGGGAGGUCUCCAGGUAUUAGUCAACAGGAUAAUGUUCCGAAAUACACUCGUGACUCGACUGUGAGGUUUGUAUUUGUUUGUGGUAUUGUUGGCACAGACUUUAAGUUUUGUAUCUUUAGUCAUCAGAUACUCGGUUCCAUAGAAACGUCGUAUGAUCCAUUUUUUCUUGCAUAAAGGGAGAAAAUGUUAUCUUUUUAUGUAGGACUGCUGCUGCUGCGGAAAGUGGUAUCCCCUCAAGCACUUAUCCAACUCGCGUUCCCAAUUUUCAUGCUAUGUAUGUUUAACUACAACAUUACCCAUUGCAGCUAAAUAAUCUGCUUACUGUUAUUAUCUCGACUUAUAACAUUAAACAAUUUCAGUGCACUAGGACCAUGGCACGCUGUGAUUGCUUACGACGCAUGUGUUCGACUUUGCCUGCAUGCCUGGGCUAGGGGGUGCAUGGAAGCUCCCAUGUUUUUGGAGAAUGAAUGUGCUUUGCUACGAAAUGCCUUCAAGUAAGUUCUUGGAAAGGGAUUUUGUGAACUCUAGUGAGACGUAUAAAUUUUGUUUCCACUGGAUUGACAUUUUUUACAUAAUGAUUUUAGUCAUCAUGAAACGGACUUUUCUAUUGACUAAUUACCUCACAAUCUUAGUGAUUUUAGAUAUCUUGAAAGUGAUUCCACUGGAUGGACAUAAUGAUUUAGAUGAUCAUGAAUGAAACUAUUUCUACCGACUAAUCACCUGAGUUCUUAGUGCCAACCUUGCUGAUCAUGUAAAGAGAGUCAUUUAUAUGGUAAUACACUUUAUGCCACUCUCACAUACUAGCUAGACUUUUCUUUUGAACAGGCCAGCAUGUGCUUACAUUAAUGGAUCGUAGUUAGAAUUGAACCCAGGACCUUUCGAGUUUUCGUUAUAUCGUGGUGCAUAAUUAACUUGUAGAAGGUUAAACUGUUAGAGAAGACAAUAAUUUAUUCUUUUGUGCAGUCUAACAAUUAUUAUGUUGCUUGAAGUUUGAAUCUGGUGGCAGAUCCAUAAAAUUAGAAGUGAUUCCAUUUUCCUAAUGCACAUGCAUGUCUAAGCUUAAAACUUGCAUAUGUUCUCAUUCAAUUUUGACAUCCGUUUUCUUAUUUUGAAAACUGUUUGCCCUUUAAUGGGCCUUAUCUUUGCUUCAGUGGCAAUACAGUAGUAUUUGUGAUCUUAGACAUAGUUUUCACUCCAAAUCUGUUACUGUUUGUAUGCUACAGUUUGCAGCAAGUGCUAUUACAAUCAGAGGAGGAAUUAAUGUUAAAGCGGUCUUCUGAGCUUCCUACAGAAGGUUCUGCUGCUAAACCUAAAAAAAUGGUUGGGAAGAUGAAAGUGCAAGGUAGUUCUUUGUAUCAGAUCUUUUAUACUCACUGAGAUUGUGUGAGAAACUAUUUUGACAUUCUACUCUUGCAGUAAGGAAGGUGAAAUUAGGUCUCGACCCACCUAGGGCUGCAGUUUUGCAUUGGUGAAAGUACCAAAAGUAAAGAUUGAAUCUGUCCGCUCACAGUUCCAAACUGCGGUCGGCUGUUUCUCUGGUUGGCGAGCAGUGCGUAAAGUCCGUUUUGCACCUCGUGUAUCAAAUGGUUCUUUUUCACGCCAGAGCUUGGCAUAUGUUCAGGCUGGCACUCAAUACAUAAAACAAGUUUCUGGACUACUGAAAGUUGGUGUGGCAACAUUGCGCAGCAGUUCAUCAUCCUAUGAAGUACAAGGUGUGGAUACACUAAUUUUCAAUUCUGUGGGAGAUUUUUGUAUCUGACGAGUCAGAAGCAUUGGUGUUUGAGUGGCUACUAGUUUUCCAACUAACAGUAAAGUUCAUAUUGCUUUUGACAAGUGUGCAUAAGAAAUGGUUAAUCCACACAUGAGAUGGUAUAAUGUAGUAAACUUGAUUCUCAUUAAAAGAAAUGUCUACUAUUAUAAGCAUUGGUAACACUUCUAUCAUGUCUGGCAUUGCUACUGUGCUGUUCAUUCAAGCAACUCUUUUCUGGCUGUAAUCUAAAUUGUCAUGAUCUGGAGCUUCUGUUACUAUUAAUGGUGACGUAGACCAGCUUAUGCUCCGUUGGUGAAAUUUAAGAAAAUUAAAGAAAAAGCAGAAGUCUUCUAGUUUUCUUUUCUUAUAACUAGUAUUAUGCUUUAAAUGUACUGAUACUUUGUUGAGUCAGUGGAUAACUGUAAAGAUACUUACUGGUGUUUUGUACAUGUUAGUAGAAGCAUACUCCUGUUUACUGCGACUCAAGAGUUCCAGUGAAGAAGAUGCUAUUAGAAUGCAGCCAGGAUCUAGUGAAACCCAUAUGUUGUAUGUUUUUCUUAACUCUGUGCAUUUGUUUGACGUGUUGCUUUAGUAUGGCGUUGACAGCUUUACAGUUUUCCUGAUGGCUAGGAGAUGAUCUAAUUGUUGAAGUCCAGGAUUCCAAAGGGAAGCAAUGUGGUCGAGUCCUUGCUCAAGUAGCUACUAUUGCAGAGGAUCCUGUAAGUUAAAAAAUAUCUUUAAAGGCUGUCUUUACUUUUUUUCCCCCUUGUUAGGUUUGGUUUCAGAUUGGAUCUCAAUAUGGAUGCUACUUGCAGGGUGAAAGCUAAGAUGGUGGUCUAUUUAUCAUGACCAGAGCAUGAGCUGGUUGGGAGAGUGCAACUCUACAUUAAUUAUUCAACGGGUAUUGAUGAAAAUAGUCACCUUAAGGUUGGUUGUUAAAUUAUUAACAUCUAUUUAAACUAUCUCUUUCUAACCCUACCAUCAACAGUAGAACCAAAAGAUUAGUGGUGUAAUCAGUCUAGAAGAAGCAUUCACAAUACUGUCCCCAACCACCUUUAUGAUGAACAUUAUCAUGUGCACCAGUAAAUAUAGACAAGUAUCCAGAUACAAUAAAAGAGGGAAAAAUAAAAAAAAAAGAGUGAGUCAAAGGCUGUAUGCAUUUUGAAAUCCCUUCUGUGGUCUGUCAUUCUUAUAGAAUGUAUAAGAUAGGCAAAAGUACCUUGGAACUGGACUGCUGUUUGAUACAUGGUAUUUUAUUUCCAUAGUGUGGCUCAGUGGCAGAAACAGUGGCUUAUGACCUGGCGUUGGAAGUUGCUAUGAAGAUUGAGCAUUUUCAGCAAAGGAAUUUGGUGCUGCAUGGUCCAUGGAAGUGGUUACUGACCGAAUUUGCUUCAUAUUUUGGGGUUUCUGAUGCAUACACAAAACUUAGGUACAGAAUUACUGUUCCAUUAGUCACUUUGACGUUCAAGCUGAUUAAGCUUGAAUUUUCUGCUGCUGUUUGUACUUUUUGUGGUUCAUAUGCUUAUUAUGACCAUGUCUCUUGUAGAACAUAAACUUUGUUUUGAUCACUUAUCUCUGUGUCCUGCUGAAAUUGCAGAUAUCUUUCUUAUGUGAUGGAUGUGGCCACACCUACUGCUGACUGUCUUAAACUGGUGCAUGAUCUGCUUUACCCUGUCCUGAUGAAGGGCCAUAGCAAAACCUCAUUGAGUCGCCAGGAGGUAUAUAUCAUCUUCUGAUGAUGGCAUGCUAAUUUAUUUCAUCAGCCCAUUUCUUUGUCGCUUACAUUGUGUGAGAAAACAAAAAUCAUCUACCAUUGCUGAUCUCUCUUCUUAAUGUUGUUUCUCAUUUUUGGCUGCUUGCUCCAGAAACGUAUUUUAGGGGAAAUUGAGGAUCAGCUUGAACAGAUUUUUGCACUUGUUUUCCAAAAUUACAAAUCAUUGGAUGAAUCAUUGUCUUCGGGAAUUAUGGACACUUUUCGACCUGCUACUGGGCAUGCAGCACCUGUGUUGAAGCCAGCUGUUGAACUCUACAAACUUUGUCAUGAUAUACUAUCUCCAGAGGCACAGAAUAAGCUCUACAGUUACUUCCAGGUUGGUGAGGAAAAAAUCCUUGACACCUUUUCUUGUUACAUGAUUAUUUUCUCAUAUUUCGUGGAUUAAAAACAACCUGUACAGGCUGCUUCAAAAAAGCGAUCAAGGAGGCACUUGACUGAGACUGAUGAAUAUGUUAGUGGCAACAGUGAAGGCAUAUUGAUGGAUUCUCUAACUAUUUAUACUGCAUAUCAAAAGAUGAAAACUCUAUGCUUGAAUGUCAAGAAUGAAAUUUUUACCGAUAUAGAGAUCCACAAUCAAGAUAUACUUCCCAGGUAUAAUUGGUUUAGACUUUUCUAGGUGCUUGAUUUGAAAUAAAGCAUUUGAAAGACAAUGAGACAAUCAUGUACUUAUCUCUCUGCUCACAGUUCCUUAUUCAAGGUGCUAUUAUAGUUAUAGACAGUAUGUUGAAUUGCAUUCAUAUGCUGGAUUUCUGUGUGAUGUCUUCUAGUUGGGAAAAAUGGGACUAAAUACUGGAAAUUCUACUCUCCCAUCCUCUGUUUGUGAUGUUGAUGUGGUAUUGAAACUAGGUAAAAAUUCAUAUGACAUAGCCCAACUGUUGAUCUUAGACUUUGAAUGCUAGUAAAAUCCGUGGAACUGAAGAAUUUGCAAUUGUCGUGGCAUGGUUAGAACAAUAAAUUUUCUUUAGAAUGUGUAGCGUGCAAAAUGAAGUGAGUGGACUAGAUGUGUUCCCUUUGUGCCUUAAAGUUUUGGUCCUGCUUGUGAAAUUCUGAUUCUUUCUACGAAACAUCUGUUCUUAAAGUCCAUUGCAACACCACGACAAAAAGGAUCUCCCAGCACUGAUCAAGCCCGUUUAAGAUUCUGCAGAAUUUUGAUAUAGCUUGAUUAUGUGUUAUGCUUCAAUGGAAAUGUUUCUCUUCUGCCUGGACCUAAGGAUGUUUUUCUCCAACUGCUGUCAAUUAUUUGAGUCAGUCAUGUCAUGCUGCAAAUGAUUGACCACAUAGCCACUUAGCUAACAUCAUUCCCUCUUUUGCAGUUUUAUAGACCUGCCGAACCUUUCUUCAGCUAUAUAUAGUGCAGAACUGUGCAGUAGGUUGCGUGCUUUCCUUAUUGCAUGCCCUCCAACAGGUCCUUCACCUCCUGUAACAGAACUUGUGAUAGCAACUGCAGAUUUUCAGAGGGAUCUUUCCAGCUGGAAUAUCAAGUACUGUUGUUUUUCCUACAUAUAUCUCUUCUUUCAAAUUAUAGUGUUCAGACUGGAUCACUAAUGGCAUUGUCUCUUUCUUAGACCUGUUAAAGGAGGAGUUGAUGCAAAGGAGUUGUUUUCAUUUGUACAUUGUUCUGUGGAUACAAGAUAAACGCCUCUCUCUACUUGAAUCAUGCAAAUUAGACAAGGUAAAUAUUUUUAUGCAACUUUGUUGCAUAUAAUCUGUGGCAGAGUUUCUCAUAGGCCAAUGGUAUGUGCAGUUAAAACAAUGUCCACAAUGUCAAGUGCAAUAAUAAUUCAAGUCCUUUAGUUUCAUCUUUCAUUCUUUGUGGGUGUGGAAUUUGGGUUUUGCAUUAUGUAUGUUGCGAUUGCUGGUAGAACUUGUUCCUUUUAUGCUUGGCAUUUAUGACUUUACCAAGUCAUAGGUUUCUUUUAUUAAUUACUCAUUGAGUGCUGAUGAAAGCAAGUUAAUGCAAAUGUGCUGAUGUUUUCUUGUAAAUGAACUGGUUAAACCAGUUAAAAUAAGUAAAUGGCAUCAUAUAGGAGUCUCUUACAGUUUUCAUCGUUUUCCAUAUUUUGCCUGCUCUACCUUAGUGGUUGAAAUAACUUAAAUGAUGUACAGGUCAAAUGGUCUGGGGUUAGGACACAGCAUUCAACAACCCCAUUUAUUGAUGACAUGUAUGAUCGCCUCAAAGAGACAUUAAAUGAUUAUGAGAUCAUCAUUUGUCGCUGGCCAGAGUACACAUUUGUGUUGGAGAAUGUAUGUGUUCACGAAUUCAUUGACCUUUUGCCUUUCAGUUUUGGUUGCUUGUACCUAGAGGUGGCAAAUCAACCCACUUAACUAAAUUUACCCAUACCCGCCCGAAUAGAUGGGUAUGGGUAUCUUAAAUUUUUUUAUAUGGGUAUAAAUGGAUUACCCAAUAAUACCCAUUUAAUAAAUGGUAUUAUUGGGUAACCCAUCAAACCCAAUUAACCCAUUUAGAAUUCUCUUCUCCCCAAGUCUCUCUUUUUCCCCCACCUUUUUUUUUCAAAUUUUUUAUUUGUUAUGAUGUUAACUACUUUUGUUUUAUUAUUAUUAUUAUUAUUAUUUGUUGGUUUUAUCUUAUUAUUUUAUUUUAUCUUAGUUUGUUAAUUUCAUUUUUUAGCAUUACUAAUUUAUGAUAAAUUUUAGCCUAUUUUCUUAUCUUUAUAAAAUGAAAUUUUAAAUUAUAUAUGAAAAAAAUGUUAGGGGUUCAAAAUUUUUGGAUUAAGUUUUUAUAUUAAUUUUUAUAGUACUUAGUUCAAAUUUUUAUAUUCUUAUUAUUCAAUUAUUAAAUAAUAGGUAAUUUUGUGACAUAGAGUAUAAAUGAACAAAAAUUGGUAAUUAAGUUUAUUGAACAUUAUAAGUAAAUAUUUAAAACUAAUAAUGGUACAAAGAGUGGUAUAAAUUGAUAAUUUAGUUUGCAAAAAUGAAUUUAAAUGAGUUUACAAAAAGUUAAAAUAAAUGGGUUAUAAAUAGGUAAUUGGAUUACCCCAUUCAUUUUUUGACUUACCCAUUUAUACCCAUCUAAUUAAAUGGGUAUAAAUGAGUUGAGUCACUUAUACCCAUUACCCAUUUUACCCAACCCAAACUCGCCCAAGUCACCCAUUUUGACAUAUCUACUUGUACCAUAGCUAAAAUAUAUUGCACAGAAUUAUUUUCUGAAGAAAGAGCUGAAACAUUUUUUUUUUUUUUUUGGGGAAAAGGCUGUUGCUGAUGUUGAGAAGGCAAUUGUCGAUGCUCUUGAGAGCAAUAUGCCGAUGUUUUGGCUCCAUUAAAGGAAAACCUGGCACCUAAAAGAUUUGGUCUCAAGUAUGUGCAGAAGCUUGCCAGAAGAAAUGUUUCUGCAUACAUGGUACUGAUGAGGUGAGUAGACUUAUCUUAAUAUCAAGUUGUUUAAUCCCUGUCACUGUUUUGAUCUGAAAUUUUGUUUUCUCUUCUUCCAGCUUGGCAUUCUUCUAAACUCAAUGAAGAGAAUGCUUGAUGUUCUGCGUCCCAAGAUAGAGCAGCAACUGAAGUCUUGGGGCUCAUGCAUCCCUGAUGGUGGAAACACAGCCCCUGGAGAGCGUUUAAGUGAGGUGACUGUAAUGCUUAGGUCGAAGUUCAGAAACUAUGUGCAAGCAGUUGUUGAGAAACUAGUGGAAAAUGUGAGUAACCUUGAGCUCUUCAGUUGAAAAAUUCUCGGUAGGACAUAGUGCACCUCCAAUAACCCAAAUCUUUUAAGAAUAGCUUCUGAAAAAUCUGUGAAUACCAUCACUAACUUAUGUCAUAUUGUUGGUGAUGUUGACUGAAAAUUGCUAUUGUAUUGUAGACUUAUUUUGAUGGAGGGGAAGAAAUUGUUCUUCUGUUGUAGAUACCUUAAAAAAAUUAAAAUAAAAAAUAAAAUAAACAUUUUUGAGAGUCUUGAACGUUAUCAUAUUAACAUGUAUACAGGCUAGACUUUGAGCAUUAGCAGAAUAAAUGCCUUGGAUUCCUCAAAAUACAUGUAACUUAACAUUAAAUUUUUUAUUUUUAUUUAUCUUUUUUUUCCUCAGACAAAGUUGCAGGGGAGUACAAAGCUCAAAAAGAUUUUGCUGGAUUCCAAGGGCACUGUGAUAGAAUCAGAUGUCAGGAGCAGGAUGCAACCUCUUAAGGACCUUCUGGCCAGCUCAAUUAAUCAUAUGCAUUCCAUCUUUGAGUCUCAUGUUUUCAUCGCAUGUUGUCGAGGCUACUGGGAUAAAAUGGGACAGGUAAGCUAGAAUAUUUUACUGCUGUGUGAAGUUUGCACUGGUAGUGGCAAAUUUCUUGUUUUCUUGUUUCUCAGGAAUAUAUAUAUAUAUAUAUAUAUAUAUAUAUAUAUUUUUUUUUUUUUGUUUUUUUGGCUAUAGGAUAUUUUAAGCUUCUUGGAGAGCAGGAAAGAGAAUAGGGCAUGGUACAAGGGAUCUCGGAUUGCUGUGUCAGUAAGUACACACGCAUCCUUUGUACAAUAUUUAUUGGUUAUACAAGUUGCUUUAGAGGUUAAACCAGGACCCGUUUCCUGAACCCUAACCAUGAUUAGAAAUUUGUCUUUUGGUGGAUAGGUUUGUCUUCGUCUUACAGUAUGUAGAGGGCAACUAAUUGCAAUCUCAUUCCAUUUUUUCUGAUGUAAGUUUAUCACAUGGGGUGGGUAUAUGCAGGUUUUGGAUGAUAUUUUUGCAUCACAAAUGCAGCAGCUUCUUGGGAAUUCCCUACAAGACAAGGACUUGGAGAAUCCUCGAUCUAUAGUUGAAGUGCGCUCAAUGCUUUGUAGAGAUGCUGCAAGUAAUAAGGGGGCAACUCAUUCUACUUCUAGAGGUAGCAAGGAAAGAUGAGUUGCAAGGGCUGGAAAAUGCUUCAAAUGGCACAGAAGAGAGCCCUGACACUCGGGGAUGAACUUUUUAUCACUUUGAGCCUUUCAUUAGACGAGCUACGCAAGUUGCCUGCUCAAGUAGGCAAUCCUGCUCAUCCAGAUUCAGCGAUAUUCCUGAAGGAUUACAGUUUAGGUAUUUGCAGUUCAGUUGCAAAUAUAGAGUUGUUUAAAAGGAUCUCCCAAUCUUAAAGCUUUUGAGAUGUGCUUACUGGCCAUUUUGUUUUGUAUACAUAUCGAACCUUCUGACUACGUACGUAUAUAACAUAUCAUAUUUAAUGCAAUUCAGGACACAUGCAGAUACAUUGACAAAUAGUGUACUUACAAGCAUAUGCAAAUUGGCCUCUUGAUAUACUGCUGCUGAUUGCAGGUACUUACUGUCCAAACUCGAAUACUUGUUGCAGCUGAUGUUUUACCUUCUCAACAAAUUGUUUGUGCACACUUGAGAGCUCCAAUUCAUUCGUUUCUAACAAUCGCCAACCCAGUUAACAAACGUCAACUAGACAUUACCAAGAUUGUUCCUCGUGGCUCAAAAGAUAAGAAAGAGUUGCUCUUGAUUGGCAUUUCUUCGCUUUUCCUGUUUUGCAACCUACACAACCCAUCUCUCUUGUACCGUUUAGCUAUGUAAUUUGGCAACAGAAAAACCGCCUAGCACGUAAUUUUGCUAGAGUACAAGAGCCUUGGCUUUCCAUGUUGGUAGCAAUUCUGGCGGGCUGUAUUCACUUUGCCUGGUACGAUCUUCGGGCCUCGUUUGCCCUAGCCACAAGGAAGCUGUCCUCGAUUUAUUAGUUUUUUUUCUUUGUUUGCAGCAGAUAGAUGGCUUUUCAGAUCUGAAGAACCAUGUCAGAACACAAAUUUUCAUAAUAAAAGCACAAGUUCAGGUAAAAUUCCGCGUCCUGCUGCCAGCAGGAGGAAAAUGCUUUUCAUUUCAUUUUCUUUACCAUAGAAUUAGUUAGUUGAUCCCUUUUUUUUUCCGGUGUCCCGAGGAAGUUAAACUGGACAGGAAUGCAAAAGGGCGCUUGUUUCUCAAAUGCCACUUGUGUUUGCAACUUUGCAAGAGAGUACUUGAAAAUGCUUUCGGUUCAUUUUACCACUGUAGCAUUAAACAGGUUGCUUGUUUUUCACAUAGCAGUCAGCGGCCAAGCAAUCACUAUAGACUAGAUGAUUGGUUCGACCCGUGGAAGACGACAAGUAUUCAUUGAAAGAAUAUUUACAGGGUUAAACAACAUUGGAGCUAUCAAUUGCAACACACACACACACAAUGAAUGGCAUUUAUGUUACACAUUUCUAAAGAAUAGGGAAGCACUUUUGGCAGCACAAGCACACGAUUGAUUCCCGCAAAGUGUGCCACACUGCUCAGAAGAGCUUUGAUAUUACACGGCAGGAAGUCCAGAAUGCUGCUGAGGCAGCCUUCAGAAUCGCUGGGUUUUGGUAUAUGCUGGCGAAUAACAAACACAACGACAAUAACAUCAGAAUUGAGGCAGUGACAGAGACAAACCAAACAGUAUUAAGCAAAAAAAUACCAAUUGCUUACCCAAUGGCUGUAGCUCCCCAGGAUGCCACAUUGUAGAUAACUUUGCUCCCAUCCCAAGCCUUCCGAAGUUUUCCUUUUUUCUUUUUUACAGAAAAUGUCUUGCAAAGGGCUGAAACAAAAUGCUCAAAGAUUUUAUCACCUAUACUAGCAUAGCAUCUAAGCAACUACUGGAACUCAAAGACACAAGUGAACCGUCAUAUUCUGCAGUUCUCAAGAGAGUAGUCUUGCUUUCAUCCAAGAUUAAAGGAAAAAGAUGACACACGGAGCAGCUUACCAUCCUGAAGUUGGUUUGGAGUCAACUCCUGCAAGUACAAACACAAGACAUUACUAUGGGGACGAGAUGGGAAAAAAAUAUUCUUUUCCUUUUUGGGGAACCGCAUGCAGCUUGGGCUUCUUUCUUUCUUCUACUCCUUCACCACCUUGUACUUUUUCUUUAGCUUUGGAGAGAACCCACAGGGGGGGUUGUGUGUUGGGGCAGAGAAAUGGAUAAAUGAAUUAAGAUAGCACACAAUGCACUAUUCAAGCACCUAAACCUUCUUUGCCUCAAAUGUGUACCUCAUUGUCCAUUCACAGUUCACACAGCAGGAAAAGGACUAAAUGCAGAAACAAAAUUUCCUUAAUCGAAAAUAAAAUGCUACAUUCUGUUUCUGUGGUUACAAAAAGGAAUGAUGCAGCUUAGCCUCUUGAAUGGACUGUUGCUUUAUACUAAUAUUAUAACCACUAAAAAGUGCAUAACAUAAACUUAAGACAAUGCUCCUAGAACGUCAAUCCUUAUAGAUUAGCAAAGCCAAACAGAAGACCCUAAAAUACAAGCAACAAGUAUAUACUAAUCAAUGGUUGAAUUUAGUGAAUACCAUCAAUAAUCACGAAAUAUGGAAAAAUAAUAAUAAAUCUUUAAGAAAAAAGAAGCAAAUGAACGGACAAAAAAUAUACAAGGAAAACAAAACGGAUCAAGAUUUAAAGGCAACAUUGAGACUUUAUCUACCUUUGUCUGUUUAAGAGACAGCAAAUAUGCAGCCAUGAAACAUGCUAUACCAUCCACAAUAUCCUCUUGCCUAACCAAAACAUAGUCUUCUUGAUCUAACUCGGAAUUUCCACCUUCCCACAGAUCAUUCUCAUUGACCAUGUCCACGAAGUACCUUCUUCUGCAUCAAACAAAUUAGACUUCACAUCAUUCCCAUUUCAUUGGCAAAAUCUUUUGUUUUUGGGGAGGGAGGAGGGGGGAGAGAGUACAACAAAAAUAUCUACAGAGUGAUAGUGCUGCUUAAGGUCUAUGUAAUUGACUUGAAUUUUCAAAUAUGCACAGAAGUCCUUAAACAAAAAAAAAAAAUUUGCCAUCCUUGACAGCUUCUCAAGCGUCUAAGAAAACAAGAAUAUUGGCUAAAUAGAAGCUUUUAAAUGUAGAAUAGCAGAAUUUAAGUCCCGCAUCUUGCCACUGCUCACCCAAAAAAAAGAAAAAACCAAAGGACAAGAUACCUAUAUCUUGCCACUGCUCACCAAAUACUAUGUAUCUAUUUACAAUGUUAUGCAUCCCAAAAAAUUCACACACAAAAAGUCUUUGAAAACAUACCAGCUAUGUUUUGUGGAACUGAUGCCUGCGCAUUCUCAAGCUUUUCGAGGAAAUCAGUACAUUCAACUCUUGAUUUGAUAAGAUCGCACCACUGCAAGUGAGAAAGAAAUGACGACAUCAAUAACAUCGCCAUAUAAAAAUCAUUACAAUAAGCACAAUCAGAUGUGCCUUCAACAUGUUUGCACUGUAGGAUCUCAAAACUGUAAGAUGUUCACAAGCAUAUUCAUAUUUGGCCUUCUCAGAUAACCAAAACAAGCAGUAAUUGGUACAACCAUUCUAGCUACCCUUGCAUAGACUUAAUAGAAUCGCCAGGAGUUCAACAUAUUCCAACUGACUUGUUUCCUUUUCUGGUUACCCACAUUUCAAUUGACCCUCCUCCAAAAGAAUGUCUUUUGAGUUCCCUACUUGCACUCUAUUAUAUCCUUAAGCUAAGCUAAGCUAUCUCAUUCUAAACAUCGUCAAUCACCAUGUCUCCUAACUUCAGCUACUUCCCGUACUCU
rnacentral:lncRNA from 1 species